rnacentral:rRNA from 1 species
UACGAAGGGUGCAAGCGUUACUCGGAAUUACUGGGCGUAAAGCGUGCGUAGGUGGUUUGUUAAGUCUGAUGUGAAAGCCCUGGGCUCAACCUGGGAAUGGCAUUGGAUACUGGCGAGCUAGAGUGCGGUAGAGGGUAGUGGAAUUCCCGGUGUAGCAGUGAAAUGCGCAGAUAUCAGGAAGAACACCAAUGGCGAAGGCAGCUCUCUGGGACGGUACUGACGCUGAGACGCGAAAGCGUGGGGAGCGAACAGG